GCGCCAAGCGCGCGAUCUGAGAGCCUUUCCCGACGUUCCUUUCGCGGCACCUGGCGACAAAAUGGCUGCCCGAGGGAGACGGGCGGAGCCUCCGGGUCGGGAGGCGCCCGGCCCGGCGGGCGGCGGCAGGAGUCGAUGGGCUGAAUCGGGGCCAGGAACGUCACCCGAGAGCGGGGACGACGAGGUGUCUGGCUCAAGUCCGGUGUCCAGCGGUGUGAACUUGUUCGCCAACGACGGCAGCUUCCUGGAGCUGUUCAAGCGGAAGAUGGAGGAGGAGCAGCGGCAGCGGCAGGAGGAGCCACCCCCGGGCCCGCAGCGACCCGACCCAUCGGCCUCCGCCGCGGCGGGCCCAGGGAAUCCGAAGAGGAAGGGCGGCCCAGGCCCCACGCUCAGCUUCGUGGGCAAGCGCAGAGGCGGAAACAAACUAGCCCUCAAGACGGGAAUAGUAGCCAAGAAGCAGAAGACGGAGGAUGAGGUAUUAACAAGUAAAGGUGACGCAUGGGCCAAGUACAUGGCAGAAGUGAAAAAGUACAAAGCCCACCAGUGCGGUGAUGAUGAUAAAACUCGGCCCCUGGUGAAAUGACCCCUUCCUGGGUGCUCACUGCCUGGGACUCUCUGCGAUGUACAUAACUAUUUAAUGCGGUAAUGGCAGCGGCCUUCCUGGAGGACUGAUACACAGAAGGAAACCAAGGCGCUUCUCGUGGCCGCAGACCAUUCUCCAGGACUCUUUUUUUACCUUGAGCACUUGCCUCCUGAGACUUACUAGACCAGUGGUUUACUGUCCCCUUUCUUCCCACCACCUCGCUUUCUCUGGCUCUGUCUGUCUCUUCUCGCUGUCUCUCCUUUUAGCAGUCACUUCUGAGAAGUAAAGAACCUGAUUUAGUGCUGGA